rnacentral:misc_RNA from 1 species
AAGUCAUAACAAGGUUUCCGUAGGUGAACCUGCGGAAGGAUCAUUAGUGAACGCCCCUCUGGGCUUUACGAUUCACACCUGUGCACCGUGGGCCUCGGCCCUGCAAACAUAGUGUAAUGAACGUAUGGACAUCGUAAUCUGAUAAAACUUUCAACAACGGAUCUCUUGGCUCUC